AUUAGCUAGUUGGUAAGGUAACGGCUUACCAAGGCGACGAUCAUUAGGGGUUCUGAGAGGAAGGUCCCCCACACUGGUACUGAGACACGGACCAGACUCCUACGGGAGGCAGCAGUGAGGAAUAUUGGUCAAUGGGCGCAAGCCUGAACCAGCCAUGCCGCGUGCAGGAAGACGGCCUUAUGGGUUGUAAACUGCUUUUACAUAAGACUAACCGUAUAUUUGCGAAUAUACCUGAAUGUAUUAUGAGAAUAAGGAUCGGCUAACUCCGUGCCAGCAGCCGCGGUAAUACGGAGGAUCCGAGCGUUAUCCGGAUUUAUUGGGUUUAAAGGGUGCGUAGGCUGACUGAUAAGUCAGCGGUGAAAAGCAUAGGCUUAACCUAUGUCUUGCCGUUGAUACUGUCAGACUAGAAUAUAAAUGGGGUAGGCGGAAUGAAUCAUGUAGAGGUGACAUUCAUAGAUAUGAUUUAGAACACCGUUCGCGAAGGCGGCUUACUAAGAUAUAAUUGACGCUGAUGCACGAAAGCGUGGGUAUCGAACAGGAUUAGAUACCUCUGGUAGUCCACGCUGUAAAC
rnacentral:rRNA from 1 species